UCAUCCUACGGGGGGCAGCAGUGAGGAAUAUUGGUCAAUGGGCUUACGCCUGAACCAGCCAAGUCGCGUGAGGGAAGACGGUCCUAUGGAUUGUGAACCUCUUUAGGCGGGGAGCAAUGCCGGGCACGCGUGUCCGGAGGGAGAGUACCCGCAGAAUAAGCAUCGGCUAACUCCGUGCCAGCAGCCGCGGUAAUACGGAGGAUGCGAGCGUUAUCCGGAUUUAUUGGGUUUAAAGGGUGCGUAGGCGGAUUUUUAAGUCAGCGGUAAAAUGUCCGGGCUCAACCCGGGCCGGCCGUUGAAACUGG
rnacentral:rRNA from 1 species